CAGGGAUUGCCUCAGUAACGGCGAGUGAAGCGGCAAGAGCUCAAAUUUGAAAUCUGGCGUCGCGAGGCGUCCGACUUGUAAUUUGGAGAGGCAUCUUCUGGUGGGGCCGAGCCCAUGUUCCUUGGAACAGGACGUCAUAGAGGGUGAGAAUCCCGUUCGUGGCUGGGUGCACCCACCUGCAUGUAGUGUCUUCUACGAGUCGAGUUGUUUGGGAAUGCAGCUCAAAAGGGGUGGUAAAUUUCAUCUAAAGCUAAAUAUUGGCGAGAGACCGAUAGCGCACAAGUAGAGUGAUCGAAAGAUGAAAAGCACUUUGAAAAUAGAGUCAAACAGUACGUGAAAUUGUUGAAGGGGAAGCGCUUGAGACCAGACUCGGCCUAGGGCAAACAUCCUUCCUUCUGGUUGGUGCACUUGCCCCUGGCUGGGCCAGCAUCAGUUGGGAUGGCGGGAUAAAGGUCCGGGGAAUGUGGCUCCCCCUCGGGGAGUGUUAUAGCCCUGGAUGCCAUGCCGCCCGUCCCGACUGAGGACCGCGCUUCGGCUAGGAUGCUGGCGUAAUGGUCUUCAGCGACCCGUCUUGAAACACGGACCAAGGAGUCUAACAUCUAUGCGAGUGUUUGGGCCUCACACCCUCACGCGUAAUGAAAGUGAACGGAGGUGGGAACCCCGCGAGGGGCGCACCAUCGACCGAUCCUGAUGUCUUCGGAUGGAUUUGAGUAGGAGCAUGGCUGUUGGGACCCGAAAGAUGGUGAACUAUGCCUGAAUAGGGUGAAGCCAGAGGAAACUCUGGUGGAGGCUCGCAGCGGUUCUGACGUGCAAAUCGAUCGUCAAAUUUGGGUAUAGGGCGAAAGACUA
rnacentral:rRNA from 1 species